UUGUGGAGGCGUUUGAGGUACGACGACGGAGGAAGAGAGAGAUGGCCUCUCUCAGAACGAUUCUUCUCUUGGACAACACAAACCCCAGAAGAAGCACAACACAAAUCAAAAGGGUUGAUGAGAGAGGGAGCAAGUUUGAAAAUUUAGGGUGGUGAAUGAACAACAAAGAGAAAAGAGCGUGUUUAUGGAGAAAGGUACAGACCAGGGCACAUUGUGAGUAUGUUGAAAUGGAAAUGAUUUCUCUAGAUGCCCAAAUUGAGUAUGCCCAAAUCGCACCGGGAUCCAAUUGCUUGUGAGUAUGUUGAAAUGGAAAUGAUUUCUCUAGAUGCCCAAAUUGAGUAUGCCCAAAUCGCACCGGGACCCAAUUGCUUUUCCUCUGUGAGUGUUUUUCAUGAUGCCCAGAUGGAACUAUGUGCUCAAUUUGCUCAAAGAUAGCACCUUUUGUUUAUGGGGGUAGGUAUGUUUUGUUCGAUUCACUGUUUGGUUUGUGUUUUUGGUGUGGAGAGGCAAUUUUCGUUGAUGUAGUUUGUAAUUUGGGGGAGAAUGGUGAGAAUGUGAGAUGAAGAAGAUUCAAGAUUGGGUUGAAUACUUGAAUUUCUCAUUUUUAAUGUUUUAUUUAAAUAAUAUAUGCAAUUAAUUAGGGAGGUUAAUUAGG
rnacentral:lncRNA from 1 species